CCUGCACUAAAAUAACGGACUAACGAAUCGGUACAAUACUUGGUUAGUAUAAACGAUAAGUCAGAAUGAUACGUCAUAUCAUGUUAUUUUGUAUAAUAAUAUUAUGUUUAUUAGAAAAUAAGGUCAAGAGAAGAUUAGACAUCCUUAUCUCCCUAUGAGCACGGUCCUAAUCAGAACGGUAAUAAUAAUAUUAUACGACUGAAUUCUGAU